rnacentral:lncRNA from 1 species
GGGUCAGGAGAAGCAGACUGCUGAACUCGUCGUGGUUUUACUGCUGAUUUCAUACUUUCCGUGGUACUGCGGUUUGUUGAACUUGAACCACAACUUUCAUGGUCUUCCUGCUGAGCUCCAUCCUUUAAUUUCAAGAUGCAUUCCAUUGUAUUGAUAGUGAUGACAACUGGUUCUGAUCCUAAUUUUGUCCAUGGCACGUGAAUCCGAAGCUCAUGAAUAUGCCCACUCAAAAAAGUAAAUGGUAGUUUCAGCUCCUGCUCGAGCACAUCCAGCUUUAACUCAAGUUUACUGAGAACGACAUCCCCUCCC